UAGGGAAUAUUGCACAAUGGGGGAAACCCUGAUGCAGCGACGCCGCGUGAGUGAUGAAGGCCUUCGGGUCGUAAAGCUCUGUCGUAUGGGACUAACAAAAUGAAGGUACCAUGCAAGAAAGGAUCGGCUAACUUCGUGCCAGCAGCCGCGGUAAGACGAGGGAUCCUAGCGUUGUUCGGAAUCAUUGGGCGUAAAGCGGGUGUAGGCGGACUUAUAAGUCAGGUGUGAAAUCCCAGGGCUCAACCCUGGAAGUGCACUUGAUACUGCAAGUCUUGAGUGUGGUAGAGGCUAUUAGAAUUCUUGGUGUAGUGGUGAAAUACGUAGAUAUCAAGAGGAAUACCGGAGGCGAAGGCGGAUAGCUGGGCCAACACUGACGCUGAGACCCGAAAGCGUGGGGAUCAAACAGGAUUAGAUACCCCCGUAGUCCCUGAGCGGGCUGGCAAGGCGCAU
rnacentral:rRNA from 1 species